rnacentral:lncRNA from 1 species
CGCAGCAUAUGGAGGUUCCUAGGCUAGGGGUCUAAUCGGAGAUACAGCUGCCGGUCUACACCACAGCCACAGCAACGGGAGAUCUGAGCCACGUCUUUGACCUACACCACAGCUCACAGCAAUGCCAGAUCCCCGACCCACUGAGCAAGGCCAGGGAUAGAACCCACAUCCUUAUGGCUUCUAGUCGGGCCUGUUUCCGCUGUGCCACGAAGGGAACUCCCCGAAUUUCCAUUGACAAUGAACAUUUCCGGGCACGAGAAUCUUCUGGCGACCACACUUCGCCUUUCUGAGCUGUCCCGGGUAUGCCAGCUGGGCAGUGUGCUCUGGGGUCAGGGUAGUGAAGCAAAGGAAUCUGAACUUAUCCAUUUCAAAUCCAUCUCCUUCAGUCUUACUGAACUUCAAACACAUAUUAACACACUCCUCGACAAGAUGCAACUGCCUCUGAAAAUGUCCCACUUCAAGAUUAGAAAGAGUUCCCUGGUGUCUCAGUGGGUUAAGGAUCUGGCAUUGUUACUGCUGUGGCUCGGGCUGCUGCUGCGACAGAGGUCUGACCCCUGGCCCUGGAAUUCCCACGUGCGAGAUGUGAAGAAAGGCCGUGUGCUGGAAAGGCAAAGGGUAAGAGCAGCGGGUGCAGGAGGAGCUAAGGGACCAUCACGGGACAGCAGCAGCUUCAUUUGCUGGACGACUUGCUGACUACCAGCUCUUCGGUGCCAGCAUUUCCCCUGGUAUCUGGUGACACAUCAUCCCUUCAGCAUCACGUCCCCCAGGAACAACACUGCAAAGCUAUAUUUACGGCAAACCCUACAAGUCCUUGCUUGGCGAAUGUACCCAGCAAGGUUGGGAUAUAGAUGGAGUUUAGUGAAAUUCUUCCAACAUUUGGAUUCAUUCUUAGGAAAAAAACCAUUCCGCUGCCCAAUUGUUCAUCCUAAAAUAUUAGAAGAAAACUAACUGGAUUCCUCCCUCACAUCCUUGAAUUCAAUCUAGGGAUCGAUAAGCUACUGUUUUAUCAAUUCUUCUUGGACAAUGUUCAUGCCGUAAUAUUAAAUUAGAAGUAAGACUAGGAAUCUCCCUCACCUAUAAAAGGCAUGGUGUUUUUUUUGUUCAUGUUCAAUUUGCAUUGGUCCAUUGGGUCACAGGUGUGCAGCUACCAAUUCAUCCGUAACAUGCCGUUACUACGGGAACACGUCACUCUGAAGGGCAAAGGAGUUCGGCCUCAGAGGACCCCGAAGACUGAAGUUUCCUAUCUGCGCAAGAAACGUCAUUGUGUUAUUUAGAUGGAGAUUUCCUUAUAUUCAUAAAAAUAUCCUUUUUCCCAUUUAAGUAUACAGCCUGCCUCAUCUUUGGGGAAAAUGGGCUCCUCACGUUUCAUACCUGCCAUACAAGCAGUAUUUUCUACUAUGUUUUUCUCCCUUGUUUUUGGCCACCCCACGGCAUAUGGAGUUCCCCCACCGGGGAUCAGAUCCAAGCCACAGCUGCAACCUAUGCCACAGACGUGGCAACACCGGAUCCUUUAACCCACUGUGCCUGGCCAGGGAUCCAGCCUGUGUCCUGGCGCAGCAGAGACACUGCCAAUCAUCCCAUGGCACCACAGCGGCGAUUAGAGGUGGCUGAGAUGUUCCAGGGACGUGACAGCUCCUCCUGUCGCCCGUGGGCAGGGGCAGGCGCCAGCGCCUGGCAGGUGACCCCCCUCCGUGCCCAGGAUGGAGGCUUGCUCCCCACACUGAAACCCUGACCCAGAGAAAAACCUGUCUCUCCGGUCUCUCCCAGCCCUCCAAGUUCCUCUGGCCUCAACUUUGUGACCUUAACUUGUACUUGGUUGUGCCUGAUCCUUCUGUCCCCAAUUAGAAUUCUCAACAUGGAUGCAGGAGCUCAUCUCCUGUCUAUUUGCCAGUCGCUUUGGAUGCCCAACUCUGGUCCCACGAACUGGAGGAGGGUCAAGGGGUUCUGGUCCCCGUGAGGCUGCUCCCAGGACAAGGUGAAGGGUGAGGUGCCAUUUCCACCAGAGGCUUCAGCCCAGCCCCCGGUUUAAUCGGUAGCUGAUGAACUCGGUGUAUUCUCUCCAGCCAAGCCCCCUGGGGUCUUAAGAUUCCAGCUUCCUUGUGAGAGCAUCCACAUCCUCAGCUCGGGUCCUCAUCCAUUUCUCUUCAUUCAUCAGCCCCCCAAUAUGUCAUGUCCUCUGUUUUGUAAAGCACAGCUUCCUCGAGUUUGAGUUCCAGAGAUACGUGACCCGCCUUCACUGAUGAAGACCGUUUCGUAGCUUCAGAGACCCCUGAGGUGGGCUGAGAUGCAGGCAACCCUGCUAAGACUAAAAACUCACUUUAGGUCGGCUUCGGGCUCAGCCUGCUCUUGGCUGGAUUCCUUCUGCAACAUCCCCACCAAGUGGCUGUCCAGGCUCUGCUCCGACACCUGCAGUGAAGGGGACUCACUGGGUCCAGAGGCAACACAUUCUGACUUUAAAUAACUUUAUUAGGACAGUUCCUUAUCCUGAGCGUGAACUCCACACCCCUCAAGCACACACCCAGUGACCCGAGUUCACAGCCCAGAGCCACGGAACACCUCGAACUGCAGGGAGGCAGCUGAGUGUAGUAAGAUCCUGUGCCCCCGUGUCGGGUGGCAAGUGAGCAAGUUACUGAAGACUCCCCUUGGUUAAAAAAGAGAAAUAAUAAGGAUAGUGCUCCCCCCCACCAAGGAUGAGAUCAGGAUGCUUCCAGGACACCUGGACACACAGCGGUCUUAGCACGUUCCCUUCCGCUGCUGCGUGGCAACCCUUCACUUUGAAAGAUCCCUCUUAGGAUGUUUUCAAGACCCUUUACCAUCUAGAAUUCACACUGCUCAUCAGUGUGGUUUCUUCUGUUCCUUUUUCUCUUUCCAGUUUUUUCUCACCCAUUUGGUUUAGGGACAGACUAUCACAUGCUUCCUGUGUGAGCCAGGAGGGGAGGUCUCUUUUGGGAGAGUGGCGCCACCCAGCGGCACAUCUGGAGACUCUUCAGCCCCGACCAUCAGGUCAGCCGGAUGGUUUCCCAUCCUUGCAGCCCGGGCAUGUAGGAGAAUCCUCGUGAACUCUGGCUCCCUUUAACUUCCUUUCCUGGUUGGGGCUAAGGAAAUGCUGGCUGGAGCCCAGCAAGUCUGGGUGGCACCAGGCUUAGCUCUUCUAUGUCACCAGCCCAUCUUAGCUGAGCUGCUGUAACGGAAUACCACGGGGGGUGGGGGUGGGGGGUUGCUUCAGUGGAGGCCUGCUUCCUGGUUCACAGACAGCCCCAGCUUAAGGCUCUGUGCUCACUAGGUGGGAGGGGCAAGGGAGCUCCCGGGGUCUCUCCUAUUAGGGCACUAAUCCCGGUGAUGAGGGUUCCACCCUCGUGACCUGAAGCAAAAGCCCCACCUCCAGAUACCAUCACACUAGGGGUUAGGAUUUCAGCAUGGGAAUUCUGCAGGACAUCAACGUGCAGCCUGUAACACAGCGCCUCUACUUGGCAACCCUACCUGCCAAGGGCGGUCUGAGGGACUCCGUCCCUUCCUUUUCCUAACUCCUUUUCAAUCCUGAGGAAUUGUCUCUCCUCUGUAGGACUGGGUGCAGGGAUAGGGCUGAGGCUCUGCUAUUACUCACCCCUGUACCCAUGUCCCCAAGAUCAUGAUGCGCUCCUGGGACAUCAGCUGUGAAGUCUGGUCCAAGUUCAUAGCCCCCCGACUUGGCACAAUUCCCAAACACCACUCUGGGAGCUACUCUGGGUUCCCUGCUCCCCGGAGCUCUCCAUCCUUCAGACACACCUUCCAGCCUUUCGAGAAAGUGCUGCUUCCUCUGUCUCUGCCCCCAAUGGGGGGAGUGGGCUCACGGUGCCUGCCAUUCACACUACCAGGCACCCCUCGCCCUAGGCCUGUCUCAACCCUCCUGUCUCUGUCAGGCCGCUGCAGGUGCAAAUAACACAACACCCAGUAGAAACCCCUGAAGAACACGGGUUUAUUACUUCACUUGACAAGAUGUCCCUAAGUCGGAGGCUCCAGGCCACUUCAGCAAUCUGGAGCAUCAUCAAAGAUGCAGCGACGGUCCUUCUUUUCACUUCUCCAGCCUCAGCAUCUUGGGUUUCAUCUUCAUUUUUCCCCUGGUGGUUGCAAAACGCCUGGUACAACUUCAGGUAUUACUGCAGCCAAAGCCUUCCCAAAGUUCCCAGCAGACAUCAUUCCAACCUCAGCAGUGGGAACUGGAUAAAUCCCAUCCUGACACCCAAGGGAUGGGAUCACACCACCAGGGCCCACUGUCCCUGACACCUGAAGAACUGGGGGGGGGGUCUAUCACCAAGGAAGAGGAAGGCGGCUGUCGGACAGGAGGGGCAGUCUACACACCUCCUUGGCUGGCCCCCUGCUGCCGGUGUGAGGAACACUUCACCAUGGCCCAGAUGACUCCAACGUCUUAAUAAAGGGCUGGUCACACUAUGGCCCCAGUAGACAAGACACCACACAACCAAGGGAUGUGAUUCUUCUCUGUCCGUCAAGUCUUAAGUAGACUCCUAUAGUACGUUCUGCAGUAACUUCAAAGGCUUUUCUGCAAUGCCCUUGGCCAGUGCUAAGCCAGGAAACACACAUAACAGCACAAGCUUAGAAGACUCCUGGGAGUUCCUAUCAUGGCACAGUGGAAACAACCUGACUAGGAAUCAUGAGGCUGAAGGUUCGAUCCCUGGCCUUGCUCAGUGGCUUAAGGAUCCGGCACUGCUGUGAGCUGUGGUGUAGGUCACAGACGCGGAUCAAAUCCCAAGUUGCUGUGGCUGUGGCAUAGGCCAGCCACUGUAGUUCAGGCCAGCAGCUGUAGCUCCGAUUAGACCCCUAGCCUGGGAACUUCCAUAUGCCAUGGAUGCAGCCCUAAAAAGACAAAAAAAAAAAAAAAGACGACGACUCCUGGAUUUGGGAACAUUGACUUCACUUGUAAUUUUGGCCAUCAGGGAAAGUGCUUUGGGUAGUAUCCAGCUGCAUGGAUGGACUAUCAGGAAUCUUGCAUCUUUCCCAUUCUGGUUUUGACGUGUGCUGGUGUACACUGUCUCCCAGCAACACUGAGAGUAUGUGGAAGACAGCCUCAUUUCCGACCUCGUCUCAACUUGGUUUCACGUGCACUUGGGGAGCUAAGCAUUUCGAGAAGUUCGAAUGCCAGAUUUGUCCAAGGGUCUGAUGAGGUGCCCCCGGCACACCUGGGAAUGCAAGGACUGCGAUCCUGAGUGCGUGCUCCUGGAGAAAGAGCAUUCAGAUAGGAAUGUGCUCGAGUCGCUGACCUGAGUGCCGAUGGAACCUCCAGGUCCUUUCACAGAGGCUCCUGGCGGACUACAUCACCCCUAAGUGGUGUUUCUAUUCUUCAUUUAUUUACUUUACUUUAAAUUUUAUCCAUGAGGCAUUUGCCUCUG